CUUUACCUGCUCUGGGACAUUCGCCUCCCUCUGAAGAUCAGGAUUUUCUUAUGGCAAUGGAUCCGCGGACGACUCCCCUCUGGGGUGGAAGUCCUCAAGCGUAAUGGUCCGGGCGAUGAGAUUUGCCCCAUCUGUGGCACGAUCGAGGAUGCUAACCACAUCUUCUUCUCAUGCUACUCUGCCCAGUUCCUGUGGGCUUGCUUUCGCGAGACGGUCGAUGGACAGUGGUGCAACACCAACUUCCCCGACCUACUUGCGGAGCUUAACGCUUCCCCUCCUCGCUUCCGCCAUAUUAGAUGGCUGUGCGUUGGGGUCCUCGCCAGGACGCUUUGGACCAUCUGCAAUAAGCUUGUUAUUCAGAAGUCCCUCUCCGACGCUCGACUGACGCGAUCUUUAAAAUGUGUGGCUACUUGCAGCUCUGGCGGCCGCUUAGCCGCCCCCCAGGACCGGGACGUCAUCACCAACCUCCUCGCCGACCUUCGCUCGAUGGCUCUCCGCGUGGCGCGACUGCUGCCACCUCCUCCCCCAGAACCUGACUAG
rnacentral:rRNA from 1 species